UUUCUGCACAUAGUAACCUGGUUUACGGUUAAGGAAAGAUUGUACCUAUGGAAAAUAAAAUAGGGUAAGGCAAAGAAAUAACAGACUGUAUGAACAUCCGACCAGCACCAUGACCUUGACAACCUUUCUUCUGACCUUGCAGAUUUAGGUCAAAGAUCCUUCCCCGUGAGCACUGAACCUUGGCAAUGGACAUAAUUCAUAAGGUGCAGAAUCUGUCUGAUACUAAAAUAAUUCCUAAGGAAACUGGGUUGAGCUGAUGGAAACCGCAGAGGCGACAACUUAAUCCUCGUAAGACAGAAGCUGUGUUUUUCCUGCUGCCAACGCCCUUGGACAUGCCUGGUAAAUAGCCAUGGUGAAUCUAUGCUUCUUACUGUAACGCCUUGGCCUGUUACUCCAGAGGAACAUAGACACUGAGCUACCCGACGCUCCCGUCACUGCGUCACAGCCGUCUGCUGGCGAUCCUGCAGCUCUAUGUGUCCCCCCACAGUCUGAGGACAACGCUGCCGCUGCCGCUGCCAAUACUCCGCGUCCUGCCC